rnacentral:rRNA from 1 species
AACGAACGCUGGCGGCAUGCCUAACACAUGCAAGUCGAACGAGACCUUCGGGUCUAGUGGCGCACGGGUGCGUAACGCGUGGGAACCUGCCCUUAGGUUCGGGAUAACUCCCCGAAAGGGGUGCUAAUACCGGAUAAUGUCUUCGGACCAAAGAUUUAUCGCCUUUGGAUGGGCCCGCGUUGGAUUAGCUAGUUGGUAGGGUAAAAGCCUACCAAGGCGACGAUCCAUAGCUGGUCUGAGAGGAUGAUCAGCCACACUGGGACUGAGACACGGCCCAGACUCCUACGGGAGGCAGCAGUGGGGAAUAUUGGACAAUGGGCGAAAGCCUGAUCCAGCAAUGCCGCGUGAGUGAUGAAGGCCUUAGGGUUGUAAAGCUCUUUUACCCGGGAUGAUAAUGACAGUACCGGGAGAAUAAGCUCCGGCUAACUACGUG